AUGGGAACAAUAUUUAUGCCUAUGUUGGUGAACCUAUUAUUAUGUUGUGCUAUGAGAACAAUAUUUAUGCCUUUGUUGGUGAACCUUUUAUUAUCUUGGAGCGAUGGGAACAAUAUUUAUGCCUAUGUUGGUGAACCUAUUAUUAUGUUGUGCUAUGAGAACAAUAUUUAUGCCUUUGUUGGUGAACCUUUUAUUAUGUUGUGCUAUGAGAACAAUAUUUAUGCCUUUGUUGGUGAACCUUUUAUUAUCUUGUGUUAUGAGAACAAUAUUUAUGCCUUUGUUGGUGAACCUUUUAUUAUGUUGUGCUAUGAGAACAAUAUUUAUGCCUAUGUUGGUGAACCUAUUACUAUCUUGUGCUAUUGGAAUAAUAUUUAA
rnacentral:rRNA from 1 species